AAACUGAAGAGUUUGAUCCUGGCUCAGAUUGAACGCUGGCGGAAUGCUUUACACAUGCAAGUCGAGCGGCAGCGCGGGGCAACCUGGCGGCGAGCGGCGAACGGGUGAGUAACACAUCGGAACAUACCCAGUCGUGGGGGAUAACACUUCGAAAGAAGUGCUAAUACCGCAUACGUCCUGAGGGAGAAAGCGGGGGAUCUUCGGACCUCGCGCGAUUGGAGUGGCCGAUGUCAGAUUAGCUAGUUGGUGGGGUAAAGGCCUACCAAGGCGACGAUCUGUAGCUGGUCUGAGAGGACGACCAGCCACACUGGGACUGAGACACGGCCCAGACUCCUACGGGAGGCAGCAGUGGGGAAUUUUGGACAAUGGGGGCAACCCUGAUCCAGCCAUUCCGCGUGAGUGAAGAAGGCCUUCGGGUUGUAAAGCUCUUUCGGCAGGAACGAAACGGUCCUCUCUAACAUAGGGGGCUAAUGACGGUACCUGAAGAAGAAGCACCGGCUAACUACGUGCCAGCAGCCGCGGUAAUACGUAGGGUGCGAGCGUUAAUCGGAAUUACUGGGCGUAAAGCGUGCGCAGGCGGUUUUGUAAGACAGAUGUGAAAUCCCCGGGCUUAACCUGGGAAUUGCGUUUGUGACUGCAAGACUGGAGUGCGGCAGAGGGGGGUGGAAUUCCACGUGUAGCAGUGAAAUGCGUAGAGAUGUGGAGGAACACCGAUGGCGAAGGCAGCCCCCUGGGUCGACACUGACGCUCAUGCACGAAAGCGUGGGGAGCAAACAGGAUUAGAUA
rnacentral:rRNA from 1 species